rnacentral:rRNA from 1 species
AAUAACGAACGAGACCUUAACCUGCUAAAUAGCCCAGCCGGCUUUGGUUGGCUGCUGUUUUUUUGGAGGGACUAUCAGCGUUUAGCAGAUGGAAGUUAGAGGCAAUAACAGGUCUGUGAUGCCCUUAGAUCUUCUGGAUCGCACGCGCGUUACACUGACAGAGCCAGCGAGUCUACCACCUUGGCCGGAAGGCCUGGGUAAUCUUGUGAAACUCUUUCUUGAUGGGGAUAGAACAUUGCAAUUAUUGUUCUUCAACGAGGAAUACCUAGUAAGCGUGAGUCAUAAGCUCGCGUUGAUUACGUCCCUGCCCUUAAUACACACCGCCCGUCGCUACUACCGAUGAAUGGAU